rnacentral:lncRNA from 1 species
GGGUUUGAACACAGCUGUGUACCUGCAUGGACAGCAAAAGUCAUACAUAACUUACUUCCUUAAUGUCCCUUCAGUAUAGAGUAAUCCUACGUUCUUAUAGGACAAAUGAGGAAGUGGAGCAGACAGAUUGUUUGCUCACAGAAAGUCUAAUGCAAAGUAAACUGAACUUCCAUCCAGACCACCAAGACCAUAAUUCCCUCUGUUGCAGCAGAGUAACCUGGCUCCUCAUGGGAGAUGGAGGGGCUCACAGAGCAGUGGCUCUCGGAGGACACCAAGGCCUAGGUCUCCAGAAAGACCCAGUAAGCAGUCACAUAUUUAUCCCAGAGGAAGAACUGUGGGGCUGCAACCCCUUCAGCAGGCUGAAAAUACAGAAGGGACAAUAUUGCCACACUCAGACUGUGUGCUUACCACCAAAAAGGUGUGAAGGUUCACAAUAUCUUCUACAGUCAACUCAUCCUUCAGGAAAUAUAAAGGUCACACUCUAUCUGCAGUCCCUUAAUCCAUUAUCACCCCAUGCCAUCCCAUGGGGAAGCAGCCAUGACCCCAGUCAGGUUUCCCCCUGCCAUUAUGCAUCCUACCCUCAUUUAGCAGGCAUUGUCUGGUGUACUGAAACCUAUCAGAUGUAAUGCUCACUAAAAGCACCUCCAGUGGGACUACCAGAAAUGGCAUCACCUCUUGUCACUGUGUUCUUGGCACAGGCAGAGCUGGCUGAGUGUGUGCACUAACAACCAGGCUUUCCUGUGUGGAGCUUGACUGAGGUUUUACAUCAUUCAUGGGGUAUCAUUCUUCUAUUAGUAUCAUAGAAUCAUAGAAUCAUAGAAUCAUAGAAUGGUUUGAGUUGGAAAGGACCUUAAGAUCAUCUAGUUCCAACCCCCCUGCCAUGGGCAGGGAUGCCUCACACUAGACCAUGUCACCCAAGGCUCUGUCCAACCUGGCCUUGAAGUUCAUCUUCAUCAUUCAUGAUUUCAUACAGCCUGAAAUAUAAUCAAGUAUAUUCAUACUCGUGGUGUAUGAAUUCAGUAAAAUUUAAACCUAAAAUGAAA